CAAAAGACUAAUUUUAACUUUAUUUAAAAAAAAAACUGGGUUUAUUUCAGGUGAUUAUAAACUAAUCUUCUCCGUCCUGUACCCUUAAAUUCAACAAAGUUUUCAAAAAGCUUGAAGAAGUCUUAAUCAAACUCUGAGGAGUCCUUGAUGGUGACUAACGAUGACAUUACUCUGAGUUUAUUUCAGUCUGAUUACAUGACUCGAUCAAGUUAUUCAGGGCACGGAGGAAUACAGUGUGUUUUUUCCUGCAGUAUCAAUCUCUGUUGUCUUUGUUCAUCCACAGAAGCAGCUGAGCACCAGCUGACUCCGUGGAUCGGGGGUUUGUUCUUAAACCUAAUUAUGAGGCUGUAAAUCCUGCAGGACAAGGUGUCAGGUGCUAUCAAUUCAGCCAAGGGUUUCCAUGAGUCCGAGUCACCCAUCCAGACAAAGGUACGGCCUGUUUGUUCAAUAAUUGAUCGGCUCAUAUAGACGUUCAGGGCAUGUAGGCACCUCACACGGUUCCUGUAUUGUCAUUGUCCGCCCUGCCCUCUUAAUCCCACACUGACACUUGAUAAAUGUCCUCACAGCUCUGAGAGUUAUGGUCACCGAACUUCAGGAAUUUGGAGGAUUUUCAUGAGGAGCCGGCGGGAAUAUGAGAAUCCGAAACUGAUCGGCUGUUUCUACUAACUACUUCUGCUGUGAGCUGCCAUACUUCGGCCUCCCUCAGACUGACUCUUUCGUCCUCGCUCUCUCACUGACCCACUUGGCCGCCUGUCUUCCUCUGACCCUCUUCCUCGUCUGCCG